CCCAUUUCUAAAACAGUCUUUGCUCUUACUGUGUUUGUUGUUUAUACCCAUUCCAGCCUUAGUACACUGAAUUAAGGUUAAGCUACCUUAAAGCAGAGAAUGUAAGGACUUUGUCAUCAGUUACGCAAAAGUGUAUAUGAAAGUGAAGUAUUUCCCUUUGAUACAGAACACGGAAGUGGAGCAUCUGAAAAAUAAGAAUUGCUUAAGUAGCAGUCGCAGGAGAUUAAAUGCAGUUAAGCAUAACGAAGCGUGAGGAUGACAAGAAAAAUGAAGCAGAGGUGCCUUAUCUCCCAAUUCAUCGCAGUACAAAUUUUAUAUUCCAGACACAAAUGCCACUUUGGGAUUGAAAUCGUACUACGUGAAUCCGUGUGAUUUGCAGUGGCAACAUGCUAAUGGUGUGAAUUAGUCGUUAGUUCAUGACUCUGAGGAAAAGGACCACAUGAAAAUUUCUAUUAGCAGGACUGAGUCUCUUCAUUCUCAGUGCAGAAGUGCAGUACAACAGAAGAACAAAUACAUUCUGCAGGUGGAGAGAAGAGCCGUGGGUUCAUGGUAAGGACAGCAUCCAUCUGCCCCAGAAGCCCCAGUUGGUAGUAAAGCAGUUCACAGCACAGACCUUUCUGUGGAGAAGCUCAUGCAGCCGGCCGGCCAGCAAGCAGUUCUCACACUGCAGCAUCAUGCUUAGCUGUGUCAAGCAACAUAUAAAUCAUGAAGACAAAGUGCUGUUGAGCAACAAGGCAGCUUUUCCCAGCCAGGUCAGUAAGAAGAAACCACAGUUAUCAAAUCAGUGUCUUGGCAUUGAAACUGCACAGCACCUCAGUGGAGCAGGUUAGCGGGAUCGGGUCCCUUCCUCCAGAGGAAGGUUUGUGCUGCUGUUUGGCCUCACCCACCUUCAGGCAGCUGAGUUUCUGUUGACUCGAAAGGAAAGCAAAAAGUCUGAAAUGCUGCUAAAAGGCCUCGUAUUGUCUGACAUCCUGUGACAAGAAAAAAAUAAACAACUUUGACCACAAGCCGUAAUGACUCUCACCUCUGUGUAAGCUUUCAGUGGCAUCAGUACUGCUGCAUCCUGCUUUUGGUUUUGCCUUGCUCGCUUGUGUUAUUCCGUGCAUUGCACAAAGAGCUUCCAGGACAUCUCCUGCAAGCCAGACUCUGGGAGCAGUUACAGCUGCCAGCCCAGCAAUAAAAAUACUGGGCCUAAAAGUCAUCCUGGUUUUGUUGUCUGUCACUGCAGUUUCCACGUGCAGAAGCAGCUACAUGGGAACUGCUACCUCCAACCAGGAGCAGCUGUCGGGAGGAGCACGUAUCGAUGUGGCUCUGUGACAGUGUUGCAAAAUACCACAUUUGAUCUCUGGGUAAAAUAGAAAAGGCAGAAUGUUUUUUUUUUUUUUUACAUCCCAACUAAAGAGAGAGAAGUGCAAGCAGUGCCAUGUAUGAACACUUACAUUUUCAGCACAAAUACCAGCCCUUCUGGGCACGCUGCUCUGAAAAGUCUGGUGCUUUAGCAGAUAGCAGCUCACAGAUAGAUCCGUGUGCUUUCAGAAAUGCAAAUGCUUUUGAGAAGUGCCUUUCAGCUCAGCCUGGUAGAGCAGAGCGCCCUAAGCAACUCCCAGUGGGCUCCUGUUUCUCCCCUCUGGGCUUCACACACACCUAAAGCCACCUUCCUUCCAGGUGAGUGGAAAUGCCUGCACCUCUCCUUGGGCAGGGACAGAGGAAAGCAAAACUGUAUCUGAAGGACGUUGCAUUAUUUCAGAGAGGGAAAAAAAAGCAUUUAAUUAUGGGGCAGCACAUUCCGUGAGAUUCCUAUCUACUGCAAUCAGACGAUUUCUGUGCUGUCCUUCUGGAGCAAACAUUUCUGACUGAAGUUGUGAAGAAGAGGACGUGGUAGCUAAAUGGGCAAACCAUUAAUUAUCCUUCAGUUUUCCAUCUAUGCUUUUGAGUCCCCUGCAUCAGGUGGAAAUGACGUCUCCUUGUCCUCCAUGUACAGGGGGCAAAGGUGGCAGUGAUGCGUUUUCACCUCUAACUCAAGGCAGUGGGACAUUUCCCCGCCUUCUAACAACUCCCUGUUACCAGGUCUCCUCUCCCCUGCUCAACAGAAUGCCUCACACUGCUCACCAGUUUUUUAUUCAAGACAGCAGGGAAUGAAGCUCAUCAAACAC
ensembl:lncRNA